GACGAACGCUGGCGGCGUGCUUAACACAUGCAAGUCGAACGGAAAGGCCCGGCUUUUGUGGGGUGCUCGAGUGGCGAACGGGUGAGUAACACGUGAGUAACCUGCCCCUGACUUUGGGAUAACUUCAGGAAACUGGGGCUAAUACCGGAUAGGAGCUCCUGCUGCAUGGUGGGGGUUGGAAAGUUUCGGCGGUUGGGGAUGGACUCGCGGCUUAUCAGCUUGUUGGUGGGGUAGUGGCUUACCAAGGCUUUGACGGGUAGCCGGCCUGAGAGGGUGACCGGCCACAUUGGGACUGAGAUACGGCCCAGACUCCUACGGGAGGCAGCAGUGGGGAAUAUUGCACAAUGGGCGGAAGCCUGAUGCAGCAACGCCGCGUGCGGGAUGACGGCCUUCGGGUUGUAAACCGCUUUCGCCUGUGACGAAGCGUGAGUGACGGUAAUGGGUAAAGAAGCACCGGCUAACUACGUG
rnacentral:rRNA from 1 species